GACGAACGCUGGCGGUGUGCUUCAUACAUGCAAGUCGAACGAUAAGGUCCUUCGGGAUACAUAAGUGGCGGACGGGUGAGUAACACGUAGAAAAUCUGCCUCAAGGAAGGGGACAACAGUUGGAAACGACUGCUAAUACCCUAUAUGAGCUAGGCUGAAAUGCCUAUCUUGAAAGUUCCGGCGCCUUGAGAUGAGUCUGCGUCUGAUUAGCUUGUUGGUGGGGUAAAGGCCUACCAAGGCGACGAUCAGUAGCUGGUUUGAGAGGAUGACCAGCCACAAUGGGACUGAGACACGGCCCAUACUCCUACGGGAGGCAGCAGUAGGGAAUUUUGCGCAAUGGGGGAAACCCUGACGCAGCAACACCGCGUGAACGACGAAGCCCUUCGGGGUGUAAAGUUCUGUCAGUAGGGACGAAUUUUGACGGUACCUGCAGAAAAAGCACCGGCUAACUACGUGCCAGCAGCCGCAGUAA
rnacentral:rRNA from 1 species